CCCGUGAGCUAGAGAAUAAUGGCCACAGAGCCUGGGCAGGCCAGGUGGAACACAGCUCAGCCAUGCAUCAGUGCUCACCUGAUACAGGCCUUCCAAAACUGUGACCAUGCUCUGCUACAGCAACGUACUCGUCUCACAUAAAAAUUGAAGAAGAAGAACAGGAAGACACAUUCUGAGAAGUUAUCUUGGCCUCUCUGCCAUCCAGAAUGACUUCUUAUUCCAAUUAUUUUUCUAGUGAAGGAUGGAACAAAGUAAUAUUAUGCUUCUUUCUACUUGUGUUGCCCUGGGUGAAAUCGCAGGCUAACAGACCUUCAGGAGGGAAAGACCAGACUGAAAAUAGAGCUCACACUGCAGAGAAGCUAGGCCACCACAAGUCCUGGAAAUCUGACAGCUUUGCGCGUUUAUAACAACGCAACUCAAGACUAUCAGAAUUAUAAAUAUUUGUACAGACACUUAUCUAAGCAACAAUCAGAGAUCAGGUCCCUCCACAAGUACUGAUGGGCUCACAGUUUAUUGUCCUGAUUUGUAAAAGUCGGCAGAAUGAAACGAUGCACAACAGAUUUGCUGAGCUCCGAAGCCAGAGAGUAGGUAAAUAGUGCAAUUGCAUGGACUCCCUCCUUGGCUCUCGGAGCAAACGGAAAAAUAAACCAUCGGAAAAAGUCUCAGCCUAAUAAAAUUACACAGGCAGAGUAACUUCUUCGUGGAACUCUGGGGAGUAGCACAGUGGCUGUGCCAGCGCGUAUGUGAGCUCUGCCAACACAUGCUCUGUGCGCGGCGCCCUGGGUCUCAAGCCCUGCUCCGAAUUUUCCCACUGGCUUCCUCUCUUUCUCCUCCUACAACAAAAAUGAUUCUUCACACCCAAUCCUGUGCUCUCUUUUAUGAAAAUAGGAGUGUCAAGAAAUACCCAUUUAAAGAGUUAUCUAACAUGGCAUUCUUUAAUGUUCUAAUGUUCUUUUGCUACAGCAAUAAAACUUUGUUUUCAAUCUUCAUCAUCAGAUAAACAAA